rnacentral:rRNA from 1 species
GACGGAGGGUGCAAGCGUUAUCCGGAAUGAUUGGGCGUAAAGCGUCCGCAGGUGGCAGUUCAAGUCUGCUGUCAAAGCCCGGGGCUUAACUGCGGAAAGGCAGUGGAAACUGAACAGCUAGAGUAUGGUAGGGGCAGAGGGAAUUCCUGGUGUAGCGGUGAAAUGCGUAGAGAUCAGGAAGAACAUCGGUGGCGAAGGCGCUCUGCUGGACCAGAACUGACACUCAGGGACGAAAGCUAGGGGAGCGAAUGGG